AACGAACGCUGGCGGCAUGCCUAACACAUGCAAGUCGAACGAACCCUUCGGGGUUAGUGGCGCACGGGUGCGUAACGCGUGGGAAUCUGCCCUUUGUUUCGGAAUAACAGUUAGAAAUGACUGCUAAUACCGGAUAAUGUCUUCGGACCAAAGAUUUAUCGGCAAAGGAUGAGCCCGCGUAGGAUUAGGUAGUUGGUGGGGUAAAGGCCUACCAAGCCGACGAUCCUUAGCUGGUCUGAGAGGAUGAUCAGCCACACUGGGACUGAGACACGGCCCAGACUCCUACGGGAGGCAGCAGUGGGGAAUAUUGGACAAUGGACGCAAGUCUGAUCCAGCAAUGCCGCGUGAGUGAUGAAGGCCUUAGGGUUGUAAAGCUCUUUUACCAGGGAUGAUAAUGACAGUACCUGGAGAAUAAGCUCCGGCUAACUCCGUGCCAGCAGCCGCGGUAAAAC
rnacentral:rRNA from 1 species